UACGUAGGUGGCAAGCGUUGUCCGGAUUUACUGGGCGUAAAGAGCGCGCAGGCGGUCGUUCAAGUCGCGUGUGAAAGCCCCCGGCUCAACUGGGGAGGGUCACGCGAUACUGAUCGACUGGAAGGCAGGAGAGGGUAGUGGAAUUCCCGGUGUAGUGGUGAAAUGCGUAGAUAUCGGGAGGAACACCAGUGGCGAAGGCGACUACCCGGCCUGUUCUUGACGCUGAGGCGCGAAAGCUAGGGGAGCAAACGGG
rnacentral:rRNA from 1 species